AAAGUCAGACCUGUCAUUGGCAGGGCUGACCGAGCAGCAAUGUGCAAGUCCAUGGCAGGUGGGGACAGAAGUGGUGCAACCAGUCUGCUCAGAGCCAGCGAGGCCAGCAAAACGAAGUCCUAGUUGAGAACUCUAUUCCAGGCCUGCUGGACUUGAGACAGCUUCCUGGCCACGAGGUGAAUGGUUGUGUCCACCACAUACUCCCACCGCAUCGUGCUGUCUGCUGAAAACCAUGGGGCCAACCAAAGUGUGGGCUGAAACUUCCAGAACUGAGUCAAAAUAAAGCUUUGCUCUUCCUCACUUGCUUGUCUUGGGUAUUUACAUUAGAGUUGGGAAGCUGACUAACAACCCUGUACUGGCCACUCAAACAUCCUCUUCCCUCAAGAGGAAGGGCAUCCCGAAGUCCUACCGAGUCACCAAUUUCUGGGUGAUACACAAUCACUUCCACCACUUCUAGACAAGGUUUCUCUACACAGAGAAACAAGCCAUUUAUUGCCCUGUUACACGAGACACACCAUAGUUGGGCAGGAUUAGAUUCAUGAUGGUAAAAACUCCCACCCAGAAAAGGGAGGGCUGGGAAAUACCAUACCUGUCGAUCCAUCACAAUGACCAAAUCCUGCCACGGAGAAACAGCAGGUCCUUAUCCUGGGGGCACAGUGGCAUCUUUGGGAAGCAACCUUGCAACCUCCUGGGCAGCCCCUGACAAGCCACAGGGCCGCUGGAGACCCUGCUGCUUCAGCUGAGAAUAAGGAAUGUUGUCCUGGGCCUUCUUGACUGCAGAGAGGCCCACAUUCCGAGUUACACAGCGCCCUUAAAAGCUUUUCCAAAGACACUGAGACUCAGAGAGCUUAAUCCACAGUGUCUUUCACUCAUCAGGACCUUUUUAUUUCAAGUGAGAUGAACUGGGGUCAAGUAGCUCAGGUAGGAGGGAGGCAGUGGUUUCCACAGUGCCCAGAGUGGGUUUGGAGUUGGGUUGAGGCUGCCCAAGUGGCAGAGCUGGAGUUGGAUGGGCACUGGCUCUCCUGAUUCUCCUGUGAGCAUCCUGCUCCACACACAGACCUGGCUUGUCCACGUGGUGGGGCCAGGGCCUCUGGGGGCUCCCAGAUCCCCUACCCAGCACAAUCACCCAUUGUCUCUGAUGAAAGGUGAUGAUUUGAGGAAAGCGCUCUGGCUGGCUGGUGCAUUCGUCAGGGUUCUGAGGAAAAGAUUCAAUAUACAAUACUGCAUAUGUUUGAUUAGACAAGGGACUUAUGAGGCAGGCAUGCAAGGUCAGAGGCGCAAGAAUCCAAAAUCUGCAUGCUGGGGAGCAGCAGGAUCCUGGGAUGGUUGAGGGCCUCGAAGGCCUGGAAGCUCACUUCUGCGUCUCCUGUGGGAAUCCAUGUCAGAGAACUGAAGAGGCCCCAUUAGAAGGCAGAGGAGUCCAUGCUGAGGCCUGAAGGAACUGGAGACCAAUGUCCAAAGAAAAUGGUGAAGACGGGAGCCCCUCUGAAAGAGUGGGAAGACUCGCUUCUUCUUCCCCUUCUCACUUCCUCCGAGCUGCAAGCCUGUUGGUUGGUGCCGCCUCACCCAGUGUGGGUCUUCUCUCCUCAGGUUCUGGCCUUCACAUCAGCCUUCCACAGACAUGCCCAGAGUUUACGAAUCCACUGCGCAGUUCUUGCCCAGGCCAAGUUGACACAUCACUGUGAACGACCACAGCCGGCCUGGAUCCUGUAGGCCAAACGGGGUGGUCGACGGCCCGGGAGAGGUGCGUGGGGAGAGCACGGUCAUCUCCCUGAAGACCCGGGGAAGAAGGGUGGGCACAGACAAGGGUACUGCUCCCUGGAGACGGGGUGCUGGCUCCCGAGCCCUGCUCGCCCGGAGCUUCCUGUGCUCUGCCCUUUCUUCUGCUGUUGGGCCGAGCUGACCUUUAUUUCCAUGUAGUGACAUCAGAGACAGUUAAUUUCGGUUGCAUCUCAGCUGUCACCUUCUGAGUUCAGCAAGAACACACAUGUGUCAGGUAAUAAUCCUUCUCGGCCCCGUGAACCACUUAACGCUGUUAACAGACAGCAACAUUAACACACCGCUGCCUUCCUACCCACAGGAUCCGCCAGUUGCCUGUGCACCUCUGAUUGAUAUUCAACCCAAUAACACUGAUCAGGAUAAGCUUCUCUGGUCUGCAAGGACAUCAUUCUAACUGGAAGGAUUAAACAAAGUUAAAGUUCAUUUAAUAUCUUUGCAGAAGUAUACUUUGCAGCCAUCUUCCUGGGCUUGGCUAAUACUAGUGUCUUCUGCUCCUGAUCGUGGGGAAAUACUAUGUUGAAGCCUUAGACCCUCUCAGUCAGCUGGAGACCACCAGGGAAGCCUGGAAAGAUUCAGUGGGUUAAUUUAGGCAUUCAGGAGACUAACAAGGAAAGCAAGCAAUAAAACUCCAGACAGAAGGGCGGAAGUGAGCAAACAAUAAAAAAUGGCAGGAAGGGUCCCAAUCCAUCUGUAAACCAUUAGGAUGUUGUGAACAAUUUUCCAGGGUAUUUUCCUGGUGUUGUUUCCAGCUUCUGUGCUUGUUAGUUAGAGCUUAUUUGGGAACACUGCUGUUACAGUCUCUGAGACACGACAGGCCCUGGGAGUUUCUUUGAAGGGUCCAUCUUGUAUUACUAGUAAAAUUACAUGUAAGAACAACUGAUGACUAAUGUGUAUCUGCCCUAAACGAAGUUCCAUAAAACUGAGAUCUUUAUUAAAGAUGAAAUGCAUUUAAAAUGAAAAAUAAAGCAUUAAGAAAAGUUGGUGAAAAACUUUUCACAUGAAUUCUUUCCCACUGAUAGGCUAAAAGAGCUGAAUAGUCUAGAUUUCAGUGAAUGGUGUGGGGAGAAAGCCUUUUUAAAAAUUUCCAAUUCAGAAAUAAUGUAUAUUUUACCUGGUAGAUCCUAUAAUUCCUGACCUAAGAUCAAGGGAUUAAAUAUUCAAACUGGGAAACUCACCCUAGUUUCUUAGCUAUUAUAGAAUUCAGCCAAAAUCAUUAAGUAAUAUUGGAUCAAGCUUGUACUUCAUAACUAGGAAAGUGAAAUCGUAUUGUCUAAAAUUUUAAGAUAAGGGACUUUUUAAUUAGAAAAAUAUUUCCAUUAUGGAAAAGAGUUAAAUUAUGGGAUUUGAUCAUCAAGAAAGCUGUUUUUUUUUUUUUUGGCUUAAAUUCUUUUAUUGGUACAUUUUAGGUAAACAAUACUUUUACAUUCAUCAUUGGGUGCUUGUACCUGUACAUGUUGGUUCUUAUUUUUUCCCCAUUACCUGUGUGCCCCUCACCCCUCCACCCUUCCCUGUUUACAUACUUUGUUUCCAUUUUUUUUUCUUCAAGCUGUUCUUAAGAGGAAGGUGAAGAAAUUACUUUAUAUUCCUAUUUUAAAAUGGUAUGCCCAUUGAAAUAUGCCUUAAGGUAUAUCUUCUUGGAGAAAAAUAGUAGUAUAGGGUUAUUGUUAAAAUAGAAAGAUAUGGGAAUAAUUUUGAAG
ensembl:lncRNA